rnacentral:lncRNA from 1 species
AGCAAGCAAGCAAGGAACAUGAGAGGAGAGGUGCCUUCCGUCUCUCUGUCCUCGUCCUUUCAGGUUUAGGACCUGCUGGCAGGAUCCUGACGUCGCAGCUCGCGACAGAAAAACACAUACUGGAGGAAGAGAUCCUUUCAAAAGUAAACUGGAAAUGGUGCAUAAAAGUCAUCUCAAAGUCUCCUCUAGGGCCAGGAGCUUUCCCUGAUAAUUUGCUCAGCUGCUAAGGGAAGUGGACUCGACUUCAGCCGAGUGUUGUGUAAAUGCAUUCUGUUUAGAAAAGCAGAUCUGCAUUUAUCUCCUAAUUGGAUGUUGCUGUGAAAAUAUGAAGCCCUCGAAGAGGCAACAACUGUUUCCCUCCUCCCUUCCCAGUCCCUCUUUCAUAUUCUGAGCUGUUCUGGGUCCCCUUUCCUUUGGAGAAUACACAUUCUCCUUGGAUAAAUGAUGUCUCUGUGAACAGAGUACAAAAUAGAUGCAGUUAGAACCAGCUUUGCCUGGACACCUGAAAGCUAGAUUUAAGAACUGCUCAUGUCUGUAGACACCUGAACCAAAAGCAGAACGGUGAAAAGGAAGAAACCUUCAUGAAGCAGAACAGCCAGAUCCUCAGAUGUUUCUAAACUGCCUGGAAGGAGCUCUCGGGAAUUCCACAGCCAUGGUGGGAAAGGUGCCCAAAAGGAUCCCCGAGGCCCCGAGGAGCAAGGGCUGUGUCUGAAUUUGUGGUCCCGUGAAGAAAACAGCAACUAAUACAUGGGUAAAAAAAGGAAAUGAAGGAACACAUAUGCGAUAGAAAUGGUUCAUGAGAAGUCUCGCUUUCCUCUCUCUCCUGAAGAAGCUGGGGAAGGAAGAGCAAGCAGAGAAGUGGUUGUUAACUCUCCUGUUUGGGAGGCGCUGCAGGAGCAAGGAGAGUGUGGUGUGCGGUGUGUGGUGGAGAGACACAGGAUGGUAGAGAUGAGGAAGGGUCACAAGAUGGCGGAGAUAUGAUGAUGGAGAGACUCGUCUGCUCUACUGGGGAGGGGUAUUUUUAUCACUGGCUUGUAGUAGAUAGCCAUUCCUAGGUAACACCAGAGAGCUUUCUGGCUUUCAUCUAUCACUGGAAAGUACUAUCUCCUGAGCCGCUGGUGCUAUGGGGAUGAUGAAGCCCAUAUUUGCUGAGGAUGCAUCUGCUCCUGACCCAGGAUAUGGGUCCUCCCUUCUCUCCUGCUCAGGUCUGACUCAUCCCCUGCCUUAUCUGAAUUUCUCCAUUCGAAGACCUUCUCUUUACUCCUGGGGAAGGAAUGUAGACUUUGGGAUAAAAUAAACCAAGAAUUGUAUCUUGGCUUGGUUGUUCUCCAUCUGUUUGGCCUUGAGCAAUUCCACUUUGAGCCUCAGUUUCUCUGUUGUAAAACCGGACUUGUAAUAGCUGCUUUACUGGAUGGCUGAGAGGACCAGCAAUGUAAUGCAGGCAAGGUGCUUGCUUUAAAUACAUGAUGGUUAUUAUUAUCUGAGUAAUGACUAUUAUUUAUUUAUAUGAAAU